rnacentral:rRNA from 1 species
AUUGAACGCUGGCGGCAUGCUUUACACAUGCAAGUCGAACGGCAGCACGAACUUCGGUCUGGUGGCGAGUGGCGAACGGGUGAGUAAUACAUCGGAACGUACCCAGUAAUGGGGGAUAACUAUCCGAAAGGAUAGCUAAUACCGCAUACGCCCUACGGGGGAAAGAGGGGGAUCGCAAGACCUCUUGUUAUUGGAGCGGCCGAUGGCUGAUUAGCUAGUUGGUGAGGUAAAGGCUCACCAAGGCGACGAUCAGUAGCGGGUCUUAGAGGACGGUCCGCCACACUGGGACUGAGACACGGUCCAGACUCCUACGGGAGGCAGCAGUGGGGAAUCUUGGACAAUGGGCGCAAGCCUGAUCCAGCAAUGCCGCGUGCGUGAAGAAGGCCUUCGGGUUGUAAAGCGCUUUUGUCAGGGAGCAAAUCCUUGUGGCUAAUACCCACCGGGGAUGAGAGUACCUGAAGAAUAGGGACCGGCUAACUACGUGCCAGCCGCCGCAGUAAAAC